CCACGGUGCCCUGAUUGCGACCU
rnacentral:rRNA from 1 species